rnacentral:pre_miRNA from 1 species
CAACGGAAUCCCAAAAGCAGCUGUUGUCUUGAGAGCAUUCCAGCUGCGCUUGGAUUUCGUUCCC